CCCGCUGAACUUAAGCAUAUCAAUAAGCGGAGGAAAAGAAACUAACAAGGAUUCCCCUAGUAACUGCGAGUGAAGCGGGAAAAGCUCAAAUUUAAAAUCUGGCAGUCUCUGGCUGUCCGAGUUGUAAUCUAGAGAAGCAUUAUCCGCGCUGGACCGUGUACAAGUCUCUUGGAACAGGGCGUCAUAGAGGGUGAGAAUCCCGUCUUUGACACGGACUACCAAUGCUUUGUGAUGCGCUCUCAAAGAGUCGAGUUGUUUGGGAAUGCAGCUCAAAAUGGGUGGUAAAUUCCAUCUAAAGCUAAAUAUAGGCGAGAGACCGAUAGCGAACAAGUACCGUGAGGGAAAGAUGAAAAGCACUUUGGAAAGAGAGUUAAACAGUACGUGAAAUUGCUGAAAGGGAAACGCUUGAAGUCAGUCACGUCUGCCAGGACUCAGCCUUGCUUCUGCUUGGUGUACUUUCUGGUUUGAUGGGCCAACAUCAAUUUUGACCGUUGGAGAAAGGCUUUGGGAAUGUGGCACCUUUGGGUGUGUUAUAGCCCUUUGUUGUAUACAACGGUUGGGAUUGAGGACCGCAGCACGCCUUCAUGGCCGGGGUUCGCCCACGUACGUGCUUAGGAUGUUGGCAUAAUGGCUUUAAGCGACCCGUCUUGAAACACGG
rnacentral:rRNA from 1 species